rnacentral:tRNA from 1 species
GAAAAAGUACUGCAAGAACUGCUAAUUCAUGCUCCCAUGCAUAGAACAUGGCUUUUUCA